UACAGAGGUCUCAAGCGUUGUUCGGAUUCAUUGGGCGUAAAGGGUGCGUAGGCGGCGCGGUAAGUCGGGUGUGAAAUCUCGGAGCUUAACUCCGAAACUGCAUUCGAUACUGCCGUGCUUGAGGACUGGAGAGGAGACUGGAAUUUACGGUGUAGCGGUGAAAUGCGUAGAUAUCAGGAGGAACACCAGCAGCGAAGGCGGCGCUCUGGGCUGGAACUGACGCUGAGGAGCGAAAGCGUGGGUAGCAAACAGG
rnacentral:rRNA from 1 species